CCUGCGCCCGGGGACCGGAAUCCCCGACAAGGGGUGGUCAGCUCAGCGGCAGCACUGGACCCUCUACCUGCCCCCGUCCCCCGAUUGUACGGAAGUCUGCAGCGUGUCUCAGGCCACACUGUUCAGGCUAAGACCGGCUGUGCCGGAGGGGCACAACACCUGAGUGGAGAUGAGCAGCCCAGGGGCGCCCUGCUGGCCCGCACCCUGCCCAGACCACAGAAGGCAAAGAGGUCGCUGAGUUUCCCUAGGAUCACCAGCUGUCAUGGACUGAUUUGUGUCUCUCCAAAUUCAUAUGUUGAAUACUUAACCUGCCAUGCGAUUGUGAUUGGAGAUAAUUCCUUUAGGGAAGCAAUGAAGGUUAAAUGAGGUCAUAGGUGGGAGCUUAAUCCAAUGGGACUGGGGUCCCUACAAGAAGAGGAAGACACCAGAGCUCUCUGUCUCCACACACAGAGAAAAGAGGCUGUAUGAGGACACAAGAGAAGGUAAUAGCUGUCUACAAACCAAGAAGAGAAGCCUCUCCAGAAAAUGAACCCUGCUGGAACUUGGUCUUGGACUUUCCAGCCUCCAGAACUGGGAGAAAAUAAAGUUCUGUUGUGUAAGCCCCCAAGUCCACGGUAUUUUGUUAUGGCAGCCCUAGCAGACUAAUAACACCUGCUAAUUAAACUACUCGUUCUCCACUUGUUGUCUCAGGGUCUGCUCCUAGGGAACCUGGACUCAGACAGAUGCUCUGCUUAAUUAGGCCCCAGGGAAAUGUAAAUGAAAACCACAUGUGAUGCCAUGUCACAAGUACUAGGAUAACCAGAAGGAAAUCUGACCACAUCGGAUGCUGGUGAGGUUGGGAAGCUGUCAUAUUUAGCUGAUGGAGGUGUGAGUCGGCAAACCACUUUGGAAAACUGUUUGUCAGUAUGAAAUAAAGCUAAAGCUAUGUAAACUACAUGGCCUAGCAACUUUGCUAAUAGGUACACCUCAGCAGAAAUACAUACAGACGUUCACCGAAAGACAGGUGCAAA